GAACCGGCCGUAGGGUCUCCGGAACAAAUUGUUUACAUCCCAACGCCGACCCUGAAUUGUACUGAAAUACAUCCUAGAACGGGUGCCAUAGGGAGUCUACACGGUUUCUGUGAAGGAUAUGCCUACGAGACAAUUGUGCCCUACUCCCAGGAUGUAUUUACACACAAGCCGCAAACAGAGACUUUAAACGGCAGGUCAACUCCCCUGAGCCAGGACCGUUGGGCGCCCCCUAUUAAACACCAACGGACAAUCAGUGCCCAGAUCCACAGGUCCGCUUCACCCGAACAAUACUACUGGGCGGGUAUUCACGAGACAGCGUUACAAGGACAAGGCUCACAAGCUACAGACCAGGCAGAUGCUAUAAUUAGGGUUGCCCAAAGACAUGUUCCCGAGUUCUCAGAGCUUCUUCAGAACAGCCCUCUUCAAAAAAGCCGAGACUCCUCGCCGGCUUAUAAAGACAUCCAAGAAGCUACACAUCUAGAUCCCGAGGAGGCGCCAAAGACCCCAGUCACCAGAACAGCGAAG